AUGAACCUUUGCCUCUUAGCUUCCUGGAUUAAGAGAUAUUUCCUGGAUGAGGGCAAGAUUUGGAAGCAAGUUAUUGAUGCCAAAUAUAGAACUAAUAGCCCUUACAUUUUUACUUGUCCAGCCAAUGGUGCUUCCCCUUUUUGGAAGGGAAUUCUCUGGGCCGCUAAAGCCACUAAAAUUGGAUAUUCCUGGAAAAUUGGGAAUGGCAAAAGUGUUAGAUUCUGGGAAGAUCAGUGGAUAGGCCAUACCACCCUCGCUACCCAAUACUGGGAGCUUUACAAUAUUGCCAACGACCACAACGUUGCUAUUAGUGAUGUUUGGGAUGGCACUAAUCUAAAAAUUACAUUUAGGAUGUGUUUCACUCCUAAAAUGCUUGCUGACUGGAGUGAGAUGUUUAAUCUGGUCAGCAAUAUUACUCUGGAUGGGAAUUCAGACACUAUUUGCUGGAAUUAUGAUCCCAAAGGAGUCUACACUGUCAAAUCCUUCUAUAGCAUUAUUAAUUUCAGGGGAUCUGUCCGGGGAACUUAA
rnacentral:rRNA from 1 species